AACACCUCAGAUCUUCUUUUCUUUUUAUAAAAGGAGGAGAUUUGGAUUUGAGUGAUCCCAACGUUUUCAUUAAUGGCGGGCCGCUUGAAAUGCAGGUGCAGCUGAACAUUCUUCUGAGCUAAAAGCAUAUUUAUUUAGUCCAGCCUCUGGUCGGAUUAUUACUUUUUGCUGCAGCUAACAUAAAGGUUGAAUUUGUUCAAAAUGCUGACUGAUGCAGGAAAUAUCAGUUGAUUGCGAAAGCAGAAAACUGUAAAUC
rnacentral:misc_RNA from 1 species